rnacentral:lncRNA from 1 species
CUUGGUUUUGAUAUUCCGUUGAAGCAAUGUGAUUACUCGUUUUACUUAUUUCAAAUUAAUCUAAUAGAAAUAAACCCAUAUAAAGGGAUUUGAACAUGGAAAAUGACUAGUUGCUUAAGCAUUCACGUUAGGGUUACACAAUCAAUUAUCUCCUGAAUAUAUCGUCUCUACUUCCAAUAUCUGAACACAUAAGGAAACUAUAAUCUCCUCCUUCACCUUAUCGAUUUCUUCCUUACAGCAAUUCAGUCAUACCAAUAACUGCUAUUUCUACCAACAUAUUCACCCUCAUAAUCUCUAACUGUAAUACUGUGCCCUCACAGCUUUCAGCACACAAUUACCCUCAUUCCAAUUACUAGAAUUCUUCAUACAGAACUGCCAUUCAUAUUACGGUGUUUCACACAAAUACACACUCAUUCUCUCUACUAAACUACAAUCAGAUUUCAACAUUCAAUCUUUCUUCUUCUCAAAUAAUACCAAUCACAUUUCCAUUCCAUAAUUCACUUCACAAUAUUCAAAAACUUUCAAUCUUCUUAUUCAAAGAAAAUAACAAACUAAAGAAAAGAGGUAGCACUAAGCUUACCUCGGCUCACAACUGUCACAGCGAUGGCACCUUAAUUAACUUCUAUAACUUCUAUAUACUUUCUCCUGAUUCUUCAGAUUCUAAUUGUAAUUUUGUAAUUAAUCACUUUUAAUAACUAAAUCACCCAUCC